rnacentral:rRNA from 1 species
GGACUAAUAUGUUGGUCAUGCCUCGGUAUGUACUGGCAUUGUUGGUUUCUACCUUCUGAAUAACCAUCAUGUCAUUAAUUUGGUGUGUUGGGGAAGCAGGACUAUUACCUUGAAAAAAUUAGAGUGCUCAAAGCAGGCUAGCGCCUGAAUACAUUAGCAUGGAAUAAUAAAAUAGGACGGCAUGGUUCUAUUUUGUUGGUUUCUAGGAUCACCGUA